CUCCUAAUGUUUUCUUCAAUGAGGUGGGAUUUCCCCUACAUAUUUCUGUGUUCUUUCUUCCCCUUUAUUCGGUUAUUACUUUGCUUCUCUCUAGGGGAGGAGCAGAUUCCUCUGGGUGGUAGACUUGGAUCAGCCCUGUAUCCUUCUGCCUGCUGGAAGCUGUCUGUUGCCAAGGAGCAACUUUUCCCUGGAGCACUUCCCUGUCUAGAUCUCCAAGUCCUGAGCCCAGAGUCUGAGACCUGCCACUUCUGCAGAAAGGAAACCACUUAUUGGUUCUCAUCAGAAGAAAAAAAAUUGUGGCGAAGGCAUAAAGACUCCAUUUCUGUCAACUUCGGAGCCUGUUCUCAUUCUUUGCUUGCUCUACCACUAAUGCCAAUUACUUGGGUCUCAUCAAACACACCAACGAAGACCUCUACACCACUCCGUGAAGGCUGCAUGGAAGGUUGGGGGCCUGAGAGCCCUCUGCAGUGUCCUCAAACCCCUCCUGUCUCUUCUGGUGAAGGUGAUCACCAGGAUGAUGCUCCACAUUGCCUGUGUGGGUCUGGCCUGAGCCCCAUCUGUAAAACAGGAUACAAAUGUCUGUCCCCCAGCAUUGAUUCCUUAAGGUGCUGUGCCUCAUCCAUGAUAGUUCCUGUUCAAUCACAAUGUGAUUAUGGCAUCUUGGAAAGUUCCAUUCUGAAAGGCAAUGAGCGUACCUCAAUUUUAAGCCUGUCAUUUAUCAUUUUUUUCUUCUUUCUUUCCUUCCUUCCUUCCUUCCUUCCUUCCUUCCUUCCUUCCUUUCUUUCUUUCUUUCUUUCUUCUUUCUUUCUUCUUUCUUAUCUAAUUUAUUGUCAAAUUGGCUAA
rnacentral:lncRNA from 1 species